rnacentral:rRNA from 1 species
UACAGAGGGGGCGAGCGUUGUUCGGAAUUACUGGGCGUAAAGGGCGCGUAGGCGGCCUCCUAAGUCGAACGUGAAAUCCCCGGGCUCAACCCGGGAACUGCGUCCGAUACUGGGGAGCUUGAAUCCGGGAGAGGGAUGUGGAAUUCCAGGUGUAGCGGUGAAAUGCGUAGAUAUCUGGAGGAACACCGGUGGCGAAGGCGGCAUCCUGGACCGGUAUUGACGCUGAGGCGCGAAAGCCAGGGGAGCAAACGGG